GCGGAGGAAAAGAAACCAACGGGGAUUGCCCCAGUAACGGCGAGUGAAGCGGCAACAGCUCAAAUUUGAAAUCUGGUCCCCCCGCGGGGCCCGAGUUGUAAUUUGAAGAGGAUGCUUCUGGCAAGGUGCCGUCCGAGUUCCCUGGAACGGGACGCCGCAGAGGGUGAGAGCCCCGUACGGUCGGACGCCGAGCCUCUGUGAAGCUCCUUCGACGAGUCGAGUAGUUUGGGAAUGCUGCUCAAAAUGGGAGGUAAACCCCUUCUAAAGCUAAAUACCGGCCAGAGACCGAUAGCGCACAAGUAGAGUGAUCGAAAGAUGAAAAGCACUUUGAAAAGAGAGUUAAAAAGCACGUGAAAUUGUUGAAAGGGAAGCGCUUGCGACCAGACUCGCGCCCGUCGGAUCAGCCGUCGCUCGUCGGCGGCGCACUCCGGCGGGCUCGGGCCAGCAUCAGUUCGCCUCGGGGGGAGAAAGGCGGCGGGAAUGUGGCUCUACGGAGUGUUAUAGCCCGCCGCGUAAUACCCCCGGGCGGACUGAGGACCGCGCGUAUGCA
rnacentral:rRNA from 1 species